CUCUAUUACUUUCUUCUUCUUUUCUCCGUUCUCUCUGUUCCUUCAAUGGCUAUGCCUCUCUUAACAAAGACCUUAGCCAAUAUUUGCCCACAAGCCCACAUGACAAUAUCCGCCCAUUAUCUGCAUGAUCCUUUUUUCGAAACAUAUUCUAAUGGGAAGGCCAUUACGCCUAAUCCUUGCUAUGGUCGUGCCAAGUCUGAUGUUAAAGAGUCGACCACUAACACUAAUCAAGUUGAGUAUCCAUUUAACUAAGUCAAAAUGAUUGGACUGAUACAUUCACUUUGUCGUAGAAUAAUAGCCUCCUCAAGGAAAAGUCUGAGCCAAAAGUAGUUAAUAGUGAUAGAGGCGCGCAUUUAAUUAUUAGUUUUAUGCACUUUCAAAUUAAUUACUCAGUAGUAGUUUUACGGAACUUGUUUGAUUACAAAAUGACCCCACAGGUCAUUCGAACUGAAAAAGAAAAAAAAAAACAUGUUGUCUAAUUUUUCAGUCAACUUUAACAUAAAGUAUACAAUCAUUGAUUUUACAUUUUCCUUUGAUUGACUUAAUUAAAUGUGACUAUAUAUACUUUUGUUCAAG
rnacentral:lncRNA from 1 species